UAAGUUAGAAAGGGCGCACGGUGGAUGCCUUGACACUAGGAGUCGAUGAAGGACGGGACUAACGCCGAUAUGCUUCGGGGAGCUGUAAGUAAGCUUUGAUCCGAAGAUUUCCGAAUGGGGAAACCCACCAUACGUAAUGGUAUGGUAUCCUUAUCUGAAUACAUAGGGUAAGGAAGACAGACCCAGGGAACUGAAACAUCUAAGUACCUGGAGGAAGAGAAAGCAGAUGCGAUUUCCUGAGUAGCGGCGAGCGAAACGGAACAUAGCCCAAACCAAGAGGCUUGCCUCUUGGGGUUGUAGGACAUUCUAUACGGAGUUACAAAGGAACGAGGUAGACGAAGCGACCUGGAAAGGUCCGCCGUAGAGGGUAACAACCCCGUAGUCGAAACUUCGUUCUCUCUUGAAUGUAUCCUGAGUACGGCGGAACACGUGAAAUUCCGUCGGAAUCUGGGAGGACCAUCUCCCAAGGCUAAAUACUCCCUAGUGAUCGAUAGUGAACCAGUACCGUGAGGGAAAGGUGAAAAGCACCCCGGAAGGGGAGUGAAAGAGAUCCUGAAACCGUGUGCCUACAAAUAGUCAGAGCCCGUUAACGGGUGAUGGCGUGCCUUUUGUAGAAUGAACCGGCGAGUUACGAUCCCGUGCGAGGUUAAGCUGAAGAGGCGGAGCCGCAGCGAAAGCGAGUCUGAAUAGGGCGUUUAGUACGUGGUCGUAGACCCGAAACCAGGUGAUCUACCCAUGUCCAGGGUGAAGUUCAGGUAACACUGAAUGGAGGCCCGAACCACGCACGUUGAAAAGUGCGGGGAUGAGGUGUGGGUAGCGGAGAAAUUCCAAUCGAACCUGGAGAUAGCUGGUUCUCCCGAAAUAGCUUUAGGGCUAGCCUUAAGUGUAAGAGUCUUGGAGGUAGAGCACUGAUUGGACUAGGGGUCCUCAUCGGAUUACCGAAUUCAGUCUAACUCCGAAUGCCAAUGACUUAUCCUUAGGAGUCAGACUGCGAGUGAUAAGAUCCGUAGUCAAAAGGGUAAACAGCCCAGACCGCCAGCUAAGGUCCCAAAGUGUGUAUUAAGUGGAGAAGGAUGUGGAGUUGCUUAGACACUAGGAUGUUGGCUUAGAAGCAGCCACCAUUUAAAGAGUGCGUAAUAGCUCACUAGUCGAGUGACUCUGCGCCGAAAAUGUACCGGGGCUAAAUACACCACCGAAGCUGCGGAUUGAUACCAAUGGUAUCAGUGUAGGGGAGCGUUCUAAGGACAGUGAAGUCAGACCGGAAGGACUGGUGGAGUGCUUAGAAGUGAGAAUGCCGGUAUGAGUAGCGAAAGACGGGUGAGAAUCCCGUCCACCGAAUGCCUAAGGUUUCCUGAGGAAGGCUCGUCCGCUCAGGGUUAGUCAGGACCUAAGCCGAGGCCGACAGGCGUAGGCGAUGGACAACAGGUUUGAUAUUCCUGUACCACCUCUUUAUCGUUUGAGCAAUGGAGGGACGCAGAAGGAUAGAAGAAGCGUGCGAUUGGUUGUGCACGUCCAAGCAGUUAGGCUGAUAAGUAGGCAAAUCCGCUUAUCGUGAAGGCUGAGCUGUGAUGGGGAAGCUCCUUAUGGAGCGAAGUCUUUGAUUCCCCGCUGCCAAGAAAAGCUUCUAGCGAGAUAAAAGGUGCCUGUACCGCAAACCGACACAGGUAGGCGAGGAGAGAAUCCUAAGGUGUGCGAGAGAACUCUGGUUAAGGAACUCGGCAAAAUGACCCCGUAACUUCGGGAGAAGGGGUGCUUUCUUAACGGAAAGCCGCAGUGAAUAGGCCCAAGCGACUGUUUAGCAAAAACACAGCUCUCUGCGAAGCCGUAAGGCGAAGUAUAGGGGGUGACACCUGCCCGGUGCUGGAAGGUUAAGGAGAGGGGUUAGCGUAAGCGAGGCUCUGAACUGAAGCCCCAGUAAACGGCGGCCGUAACUUUAACGGUCCUAAGGUAGCGAAAUUCCUUGUCGGGUAAGUUCCGACCCGCACGAAAGGUGUAACGAUUUGGGCACUGUCUCAACCAGAGACUCGGUGAAAUUAUAGUACCCGUGAAGAUGCAGGUUACCCGCGACAGGACGGAAAGACCCCGUGGAGCUUUACUGUAGCCUGAUAUUGAAUUUUGGUACAGUUUGUACAGGAUAGGCGGGAGCCUUUGAAACCGGAGCGCUAGCUUCGGUGGAGGCGCU
rnacentral:rRNA from 1 species